AGACACCCUUCCGGGGCAGGACUUGCUUCAGUGGGGCUUUGGUGCUCACUGAGUCUGCCCCCUGAGUGUAUUCCU
rnacentral:pre_miRNA from 1 species